rnacentral:rRNA from 1 species
GACGAACGCUGGCGGCGUGCUUAACACAUGCAAGUCGAACGGUGAAGCGCCUUCCUUUUUGGUGGGUGUGGAUGAGUGGCGAACGGGUGAGUAACACGUGAGUAACCUGCCCCCUUCUUCUGGAUAACCGCAUGAAAGUGUGGCUAAUACGGGAUAUUCUGGGUCUGUCGCAUGAUGGGUCUGGGAAAGAUAUUGUUUCGGUGGGGGAUGGGCUCGCGGCCUAUCAGCUUGUUGGUGGGGUGAUGGCCUACCAAGGCGGUGACGGGUAGCCGGCCUGAGGGGGUGGACGGUCACACUGGGACUGAGACACGGCCCAGACUCCUACGGGAGGCAGCAGUGGGGAAUAUUGCACAAUGGGCGCAAGCCUGAUGCAGCGACGCCGCGGGAGGGAUGGAGGCCUGCGGGUUGUGAACCUCUUUCGCCAGUGAAGCAGGCCUGCCUCGUUUGUGGGUGGGUUGACGGUAGCUGGAGAAGAAGCGCCGGCUAACUACGUG